rnacentral:rRNA from 1 species
AACGUAAGGACGCAAGCGUUAUCCGGAGUUACUGGGCGUAAAGCGCGGGCAGGCGGCUCGAUGCGUCUGAUGUGAAAUCUCCUCGCUCAACGGGGAGAGGGCCAUUGGAAACGGACGAGCUGGAGGGCAGUAGAGGUAGGCGGAAUUCCGGGUGGAGUGGUGAAAUGCGUAGAUAAUCUGGAGGAACACCGGUGGCGAAGGCGGCAUCC